GACGGUGGAGCCGAGCACAUCGGAGACUCUUGACUCGUAGAGGGGGAGGGGAGCACCAUUUCUUGUAUGGACGACCAUAAGGAUUGGUACUGUCUUCACUGACUGCAGCUCCCUCCUCCUGCUUUCAUGGAGUGGCCUUUCCAUAGCAUGAACCUCGUUAUAGCUCUGCAACGAUCCACUAGUUACACUGAAAUAUAAAUUAAUUGUUUAAAAUACUUUAUUCAUUAUUAAUAAUAUUUAUAAGCAUUUUGUUAGUAAAAAUAAGAAGCAAUUACGAGUCAGAAACUGAGGGCCUAUGAGCACCAAGACCAGCAGUACCAGCACCAAGACCACAAACACGACCGCCGCGCGUGCGGACACGGCCCCUACCCUGCGCACCACCUCGAACCCCGCGCGUAGUCGCUCCACUUCCACGUCGUUUCCGAGAUCGUCGUUGUCUUCUUAUAUUAAAAAAGCAGAAAAAAUCAAAGUUCAUGCAAACACCGAAAAAAGAAACAAUGCAAAAGAAAAUAAUGCAAAAAAUAAAAAAGUGCAAACAUAUUUUUUCGUAAAGCUUCUUUAAAAAUAGCUCAAUACAAAAACCAAAAGAAAAACCGAUAAUGAAAAAAAUUGCAAAAAUAAAUUAAAAUUUUAAUGCAUACAAAAACAUUCCUGAGGCAUAUCCAUACUUAGGAAGCAUCCCAGAAACACAAAAAACAUGACUGUCAAACGUAUGCUGUUGACGUAACCGGCUCCCGGUAUGAGACUAUGUACUUUACAUUUUCAUUACAAAUUUCAUGUUUUUGAAAGAAAUAUAAUGCUACCUAUGAAAUAUA